CAGCGAGGAGAGUGAAAUAGAACCUGAAACCAUUAGCUUACAAUCAUUCGGAGCCCUAUGUUUUUAACAGGGUGACGGACUGCCUUUUGCAUAAUGAGCCUGCGAGUUGUGGUGUCUGGCAAGGUUAAGCCAAGUGCGAAGCCGUAGCGAAAGCGAGUCUUAAUAGGGCGACUUAGUCAGAUGCUGCAGACCCGAAACGAAGUGAUCUAUCCAUGAGCAGGUUGAAGCUGGUGUAAGAGCCAGUGGAGGACCGAACCGGUGUGCGUUGAAAAGUGCUCGGAUGACUUGUGGAUAGGGGUGAAAGGCCAAUCAAACUUCGUGAUAGCUGGUUCUCUCCGAAAUAUAUUUAGGUAUAGCCUUGCGUAGU
rnacentral:rRNA from 1 species